rnacentral:rRNA from 1 species
CACGUAGGGGGCAAGCGUUGUCCGGAUUUAUUGGGCGUAAAGAGCUCGUAGGCGGCUCAGUAAGUCGGGUGUGAAACCUCCAGGCUCAACCUGGAGACGCCACCUGAUACUGCUGUGGCUAGAGUCCGGUAGGGGAGCGUGGAAUUCCUGGUGUAGCGGUGAAAUGCGCAGAUAUCAGGAGGAACACCAGCGGCGAAGGCGGCGCUCUGGGCCGGAACUGACGCUGAGACGCGAAAGCGUGGGGAGCGAACAGG